UGUCCAGACUCCUACGGGAGGCAGCAGUGGGGAAUAUUGCACAAUGGGGGGAACCCUGAUGCAGCGACGCCGCGUGGGUGAAGGAGCACCUCGGUGCGUAAAGCCCUAUCGGCAGGGAAGAAAAGCGAACAGGUUCGCCUGGACGGUACCUGACUAAGAAGCCCCGGCUAACUACGUGCCAGCAGCCGCGGUAAUACGUAGGGGGCAAGCGUUAUCCGGAUUCACUGGGUGUAAAGGGAGCGUAGACGGUUGUACAAGUCUGAUGUGAAAGCCCACGGCUCAACUGUGGGAGUGCAUUGGAAACUGUAGAACUAGAGUAUCGGAGAGGCAAGUGGAAUUCCUAGUGUAGCGGUGAAAUGCGUAGAUAUUAGGAGGAACACCAGUGGCGAAGGCGGCUUGCUGGACGAAAACUGACGUUGAGGCUCGAAAGCGUGGGGAGCAAACAGGAUUAGAUACCCUGGUA
rnacentral:rRNA from 1 species